rnacentral:rRNA from 1 species
UACGGAGGAUGCGAGCGUUAUCCGGAUUUAUUGGGUUUAAAGGGUGCGUAGGCGGCGAGUUAAGUCAGCGGUAAAAGCCCGGGGCUCAACCCCGGCCCGCCGUUGAAACUGGCUGGCUUGAGUUGGGGAAAGGCAGGCGGAAUGCGCGGUGUAGCGAUGAAAUGCAUAGAUAUCGCGCAGAACCCCGAUUGCGAAGGCAGCCUGCCGGCCCCACACUGACGCUGAGGCACGAAAGCGUGGGUAUCGAACAGG